GACAUAGGUGGCGAACGUUAUCCGGAAUUAUUGGGCGUAAAGGAUGCGUAGAUGGCAGAAUAAGUUACUGGUCGAUGCCAAACUCAAUUUGACGGAAGCUGGUAAUACUGUUCUGCUAGAGGGCAGGAGAGGUUGAUGGAAUUCUGUGUGGAGCGGUGAAAUGCGUUGAUCUACAGAGGAACACCAAAAAAGGCGAAGGCAGUCAACUAUUCUGUUCCUAACAUUGAGGC
rnacentral:rRNA from 1 species